CGAUCACCGAAGUUAAGCAACGUUGAGCCUGGCUAGUACCUGGAUGGGUGACGGUUUGGGAAUACGUGUUGCUGUAA